AAACCAUAAUUCUUUUUAUACUUUUGAAUUUUUAAUAUUAAUUUCGACCUUUGAUUGCUUUGCUAGAGUAAAAAAGAAGGGUUUUGUUAAUCAUUCACGUUUAUGGUUCUGCACAUUAAUUAAAUAAAAUUAAAUUGAAAUUCUGAAAGGGGCACUGGACACUGAAAAUGAUGAUGUCACAUGAUGAACGAGCUUUGCCUCUAAGCAAAACACGGGGCACCUCCUAAUUAACCCUAAUUUGUUCUAAUCUAACAUUCGCCGCAUGGCCGGCCUAAAACACAGCCAAAAAAGGGUUUAAUUAGAUUUAAUUAAGUUGUAUUAGGACAGCACGCACAUGUGUCAUGUACUCAUCAUAGAGUCAAUUGGUCAUGCACUUGGUGUGCAUGCACAUUUUCAAUGGCUGAGGAAGCCAUUUUCCCCCCCCUC
rnacentral:lncRNA from 1 species